rnacentral:rRNA from 1 species
GUGGGGAAUAUUGCACAAUGGGCGCAAGCCUGAUGCAGCAACGCCGCGUGAGGGAUGACGGCCUUCGGGUUGUAAACCUCUUUUAGUAGGGAAGAAGCGAAAGUGACGGUACCUGCAGAAAAAGCACCGGCUAACUACGUGCCAGCAGCCGCGGUAAUACGUAGGGUGCAAGCGUUGUCCGGAAUUAUUGGGCGUAAAGAGCUCGUAGGCGGCUUGUCGCGUCUGCUGUGAAAACCCGAGGCUCAACCUCGGGCCUGCAGUGGGUACGGGCAGGCUAGGGUGCGGUAGGGGAGAUUGGAAUUCCUGGUGUAGCGGUGGAAUGCGCAGAUAUCAGGAGGAACACCGAUGGCGAAGGCAGAUCUCUGGGCCGUAACUGACGCUGAGGAGCGAAAGCAUGGGGAGCGAACAGGAUUAGAAACCCGUGUAGUCC